UGUAAAGUGCUGGAAAAAGAGAAAAAACAUUAGUCGAAUCUUUAUUAAGGUUUUUAAACUUAUUGAAUUGACGCUAUUGGUAAUAUAUUCUUACCUGGAUUACAUUCCCUGUAAGAGGCAACACCAUAUGCAUCGAUAAGGUUCUGGAAACCACGAGUAAAACGGUUGGUGCGAUUGAAUGUUGGUGGCUCUUCGUCGGCUUCAAUGCAGUUCAGGAAAGAUGGGAUAGAACUGCCGCAUGCAUUCUAUCCAUCAGCUAAAGCCUUUUGCACGUUGGGUAGAUCAGCAGUUGGUACCCAACAUUCUCCAAUGAGACACUUCUUCGUGACGUCCAUAUUGAACAGGUUCAGAGUAUGGUAAAUUGCCUUCAUCUUGCGAACCAUGAUUGACCAGCUACCGAGUUCCUUGGCCACACUAACGAGUACGCGUUGUCUGUGAUCACGUGUUUGGUUCAGCACCUAAUUUUUAAAAAAGAAAACGUUUAAAGGAAUACCAAAAAUGGUUUUUAAAGAGAUAACAUAGUCUUAAAGUUAAAAAAAGAGUAUUACUCACCAUAUUUAGAUCCUCAAGACGAGUUCUGACUCCUUUCACCAUAUCCAAUCGCUCCGAAUUGGAUGGUGGACAAGGAUACAAUGAUGCGUGGAAACCAGAGCAUACUUUCUUGAUGCGAGACUUAAGCUGUUCUCCUUGGAAGAAAGCAACGAAUACUGUUUUGUAGAUCUCGUUGCCCUAGAAAUAAAUAUGAAGAGGUUCUAAUUAAACAUUCAUUAUUUAAC